rnacentral:SRP_RNA from 1 species
AUUCAAAUCUGGAUUGGGUGUCGACCUGGGGCCCAAUGGGGAGCAGUUGCAGGAGUGGGUUUUCAGACGCGUGGACUCGCUUCAGGAUGGGAACCAGCAGC